rnacentral:lncRNA from 1 species
AAAAUCACAUCCCUUAUUAACUGGGCAUUUAAAAAGUCAGAAUGCGAGUACAUAUGUUCAAACUCUUUUAGUAGCAAUAAACAAAAGAACUAUGUCAAUUGGACAUGCAUUGAUACUAUAUAUGCGCUUGAAUUUUUACUUGAUAACAUCUUUGUUCGCUUUGGAGAUUCUGUAUAUCGUCAAGUUAUUGGAAUUCCAAUGGGGACUAACUGUGCACCACUUAUUGCAGACCUGUUUUUGUACUGUUAUGAGUUACAAUUUAUGACUUAAAUUAGCAAAGACCCAUCGAAACAACAUUUGAUACAAAAAUUUAACAAUACUUUAAGAUAUUUGGAUGAUAUAUUGUAAUGACGACUUCAGUAUGUAUGCUAAAGAAAUUUAUCCUGUUGAACUUACUUUAAAUAAA